GGCGACCCACAUGGGACCUCGCUGAAGGAGACCGGAGGAGUCGGGGACCUGAUCGGUUCCAGCCGGCACCGAGGAUUUCUCAGGGAUACCCAUCGAUCCCCGAUCCGUAAGGCUCUUCACGACGUUCCCUGGAUUUUUGGAGACUAUGUCUAUGUGAAGACUUGGACCUCCGAACCUUUGCAGGAGCACUGGAGAGGACCUUUCCAGAUACUGCUAACCACUUUUACAGCUAUCAAAAUUGCAGAAUCGGAUGCUUGGAUACAUUAUACUCGAGUGAAGAAAGCACCGUGAAGAAAGCAUCUACUCCGUGGAAGAUUGUUAAUCGUGACCCAGAGUCUUAAAAAUUGACUUUGAAACAUGUCUAAUUUUUCAUAUCAGGUUAUGAUUGGUUUUUGGAUUUUCUUUUGGUCGGUAGUGUUGGUGGGAUCAUGGGCUGACUUGGUGGACAGGAACAAAAGACAAAUAGAAACAGAACAAAUGAUUGACAUUCCCAAACAAAUGACUGAGGAAAAUUUGAUGGUAGGAUUGAUUAAAGAA